GCUUGAACACAAAUUAGAGUUAUUAAUGUCUCAUCCAUGAAACGCCUCUCUUGCUGGGACAGGCAAUGUCUGCGCGUUCCAAAGACUCCUGCUUAAAGAGAAGUUAGGUUUGACAGGCGUCCUUACAAAAAGUGCCCUCUCCUCUCUCAGCUCCUGUCCAAAAUGCAAUUGCAAUGGGAGAAGUAGAUUGACAAAAUCAAGUCGCAACUGUUCUGGGAAUGAGUCUGCCUUUCUACUCUUUUACCUUUAACUAUUUGGGUUGUGCUCUUUGCAGCAAUAGAAACGCUCAGAUUCUGCCCCAAAGCCUGCCUUGCCCUUGUGCGUUCCUGGCCAUGAACAGUUAWCAGUGAAAUAGUCUCCAGCUGCAAUUUCAUCCUUCUUCUAUUUACCAGGUUAUUAAAUAUAAGGGAUUUUCUUCCUCUUUGGACAGCUGCUGUUAUGCAUAGGGCAGCAACACCUAAGAGUAUAAUCACACAUUGUCUCUCAGUGUGCCAAGUGCAGAAAACCAUAGGAGGAAAAGACAGUACCUGCUCCAAAGAGCUUGGAAUUGUGCUCUGAACCUUGAACACUGAUUUGUUUUAAAAACCUAGAAAGCAGUUUAGCUCAAAAGGCACAGCCAAGUAAUAACAAUCUAGACAGCACUGAGAACCAAGUUCUCCUCCCAAGUGCAUAAAAGCUACUYCUGCCCCUUGCUGGUCACCUUUUGGCAAAAGGCCGUGCCAGCAUCAUGCUGUGCUGCCAUCUAACACUGAUAAUUCCUUUGCUCCUCCAACUUCAGCUCCAGUGUAAAUAUCUUCAUCCUCCUCUCUGUGGUCCUGGGCAUCCUGCUCAUACUGGCACUUAUCAGCAUGAUAACACUGUACAUCAAGAAGUGCAGACGAGGUAACAGACAAGCAGAAGACAUCUAUGAAAAACCAGAGGACACAGCACAGUUUCAGAGCACUGAAAGAAUGGGAAGUCCCAGGAA
rnacentral:lncRNA from 1 species